rnacentral:ncRNA from 12 species
AUUACUUGAGGGCAGAACAGGCAGCUGCCGCACCCUUGUGGUCUGAAAAGAGAUGUAGGGUACGCCUUCCUACCAAAUAAU